AUUGAACGCUGGCGGCAUGCUUUACACAUGCAAGUCGAACGGUAACAGGCCGCAAGGUGCUGACGAGUGGCGAACGGGUGAGUAAUGCAUCGGAACGUGCCCAGUCGUGGGGGAUAACUGCUCGAAAGAGCAGCUAAUACCGCAUACGAUCUAUGGAUGAAAGCGGGGGACCGUAAGGCCUCGCGCGAUUGGAGCGGCCGAUGUCAGAUUAGGUAGUUGGUGGGGUAAAGGCUCACCCAGCCAACGAUCUGUAGCUGGUCUGAGCGGACGACCAGCCACACUGGGACUGAGACACGGCCCAGACUCCUACGGGAGGCAGCAGUGGGGAAUUUUGGACAAUGGGGGCAACCCUGAUCCAGCAAUGCCGCGUGCAGGAAGAAGGCCUUCGGGUUGUAAACUGCUUUUGUACGGAACGAAACGGUCUGGGUUAAUACCCUGGGCUAAUGACGGUACCGUAAGAAUAAGCACCGGCUAACUACGUGCCAGCAGCCGCAGUAACAC
rnacentral:rRNA from 1 species